rnacentral:rRNA from 1 species
AUUGAACGCUGGCGGCAGGCCUAACACAUGCAAGUCGAACGGUAACAGGAAGACGCUUGCUUCUUUGCUGACGAGAGGCGGACGGGUGAGUAAUGUCUGGGAAACUGCCUGAUGGAGGGGGAUAACUACUGGAAACGGUAGCUAAUACCGCAUAACGUCGCAAGACCAAAGAGGGGGACCUUCGGGCCUCUUGCCAUCGGAUGUGCCCAGAUGGGAUUAGCUAGUAGGUGGGGUAACGGCUCACCUAGGCGACGAUCCCUAGCUGGUCUGAGAGGAUGACCAGCCACACUGGAACUGAGACACGGUCCAGACUCCUACGGGAGGCAGCAGUGGGGAAUAUUGCACAAUGGGCGCAAGCCUGAUGCAGCCAUGCCGCGUGUAUGAAGAAGGCCUUCGGGUUGUAAAGUACUUUCAGCGGGGAGGAAGGGAGUAAAGUUAAUACCUUUGCCCAUUGACGUUACCCGCAGAAGAAGCACCGGCUAACUCCGUG